CCCUUAGAUAUCCUAGGCUGCACGCGAGCUACAAUGGUAUAUAUAAAAGGUUGCUGCUCUGAGAAGACUGGCAAUACCCUGAUAUAUAUCGUAUUUGGAAUAGAUUUUUGUAAUUAUCAAUCUUGAACGAGGAAUUCCUAGUAAAAAUAUUUCAUCAUAAUGUUUUGAUUGUGUCCCUGCCCUUUGUACACACCGCCCGUCGCUCCUACCGAUUGAAUAUUCCGGUGAGAAGAUAGGAGAAAAAUCUUUUGAUUUUUUGAAUAUUUUUGAACCUUGAUAUUUAGAGGAAGGAGAAGUUGUAACA
rnacentral:rRNA from 1 species